rnacentral:tRNA from 1 species
UGCCGGGUCAUCUAAUGGUAGGAUACAUGCCUCUGGAGCAUGGAAUCUUGGUUCGAGUCCAAGCCCGGCAG